CAAAUUACCCACUCCCAGAACGGGGAGGUAGUGWCGAAAAAUAWCAAUACGGGACUCUUUUGAGACCCCGUAAUUGGAAUGAGUACACUCUAAAUCCUUUAACGAGGAUCCAUUGGAGGGCAAGUCUGGUGCCAGCAUCCGCGGUAAUUCCAGCUCCAAUAGCGUAUAUUACAGUUGUUGCGGUUAAAAAGCUCGUAGUUGGAUCUCAGUUCCAGACGUGCGGUCCGCCUAACGGUGGUCACUGCCCGUUCUGAACAGCCAGCCGGUUUCUCUUGAUGAUCUUCACCGGUUGUCUCGGGUGACCGGCAAGUUUACUUUGAAAAAAUUAGAGUGCUCAAAGCAGGCGCGACGCCUGGAUAAUGGUGCAUGGAAUAAUGGAAUAGGACCUCGGUUCUAUUUUGUUGGUUUUCGGAACACGAGGUAAUGAUUAAGAGGGACAGACGGGGGCAUUCGUAUUGCGACGCUAGAGGUGAAAUUCUUGGACCGUCGCAAGACGAACUACUGCGAAAGCAUUUGCCAAGAAUGUUUCCAUUAAUCAAGAACGAAAGUUAGAGGUUCGAAGGCGAUCAGAUACCGCCCUAGUUCUAACCAUAAACGAUGCCAGCCAGCGAUCCGGCUGCGUUCCUCAAAUGACGCGCCGGGCAGCUUCCGGGAAACCAAAGCUUUUGGGUUCCGGGGGAAGUAUGGUUGCAAAGCUGAAACUUAAAGGAAUUGACGGAAGGGCACCACCAGGAAUGGAGCAUGCGGCUUAAUUUGACUCAACACGGGAAAACUUACCCGGCCCGGACACAGGAAGGAUUGACAGAUUAAGAGCUCUUUCUUGAUUCUGUGGGUGGUGGUGCAUGGCCGUUCUUAGUUGGUGGAUUGAUUUGUCUGGUUAAUUCCGAUAACGAACGAGACUCUAGCCUACUAAAUAGACGCUCCGAUCUACUCCGUCGGACGUUCUUCUUAGAGGGACAAGCGGCGUUUAGCCGCGCGAGACAGAGCAAUAACAGGUCUGUGAUGCCCUUAGAUGUCCGGGGCCGCACGCGCGCUACAUUGAAGGAAUCAGCGUGUGCUUUCCCUGUCCGACAGGACUGGGUAACCCGUUGAACCUCCUUCGUGCUGGGGAUAGGAAAUUGUAACUGUUUUCCUUGAACGAGGAAUUCCCAGUAAGCACGAGUCAUCAGCUCGUGUUGAUUACGUCCCUGCCCUUUGUACACACCGCCCGUCGCUACUACCGAUUGAAUGAUUUAGUGAGGUCUUCGGAUUGGCUCACGUAGCGGCUCCAGGGUCGCGACGUC
rnacentral:rRNA from 1 species